UACGUAGGGUCCGAGCGUUGUCCGGAAUUACUGGGCGUAAAGAGCUCGUAGGUGGUUUGUCGCGUUGUUCGUGAAAACUCACAGCUUAACUGUGGGCGUGCGGGCGAUACGGGCAGACUGGAGUACUGCAGGGGAGACUGGAAUUCCUGGUGUAGCGGUGGAAUGCGCAGAUAUCAGGAGGAACACCGAUGGCGAAGGCAGGUCUCUGGGCCACUACUGACGCUGAGAAGCGAAAGCGUGGGGAGCAAACAGG
rnacentral:rRNA from 1 species